rnacentral:rRNA from 1 species
CCCGUAUAGUAGAGGAUAGCCCGGCGAAAGUCGGAUUAAUACUCUAUGUUUCCAAUGCAGACAUCUAAGUUGGAACAAAGGUUUACCGCUAGUAGGAUGGGGAUGCGUCUGAUUAGGUUGUUGGCGGGGUAACGGCCCACCAAGCCUACGAUCAGUAGGGGUUCUGAGAGGAAGGUCCCCCACAUUGGAACUGAGACACGGUCCAAACUCCUACGGGAGGCAGCAGUGAGGAAUAUUGGUCAAUGGGCGAGAGCCUGAACCAGCCAAAAGGUAGCGUGCAGGAUGACGGCCCUAGUGGGUUAGUAAACUGUCUUUUAGUACGGGGAUAAGUGAGGGACGUGUCCUUUUGUAGGUACCGUAUGAAUAAGGACCGGCUAAUUCCGUGCCAGCCGCUGC